rnacentral:sRNA from 1 species
AACAAGAUAGGGACUCCUCAACAGGUGACCUCUAGGAGAGAUAUAAAGGACAUGAUCGAGUUUUUGGAUAAUCGAUAUGAGCUAGUGAUAUUAAGUUUGAGUGGAAGUAUGAAAGAAGGAUUCAGAUUGUGUGGAUCAGACGUAGAUUAUAUGUUGUGGCCAACUAACCACCGAGUGAUCUGGGACUUCUCUCAGUCUGAGUUUUACAACAUACACAGACAGACACUGAUUCUCUGUGACAGUUCUGAGAGUCCACCAGGAUUUACAUUACUUUGGUUACCAUUGGAAUUACAAGCUGAACGGAAAGUGUGGUUGUCUUGUGUGAAGAUGAAUGGGGGACUCUAUAUAUCAAGUUCCAUAUACAGAGAGAUACAUCAUUCUUUAUGUACACCUGGUUCUACAAUCCAUGGUCCAUGUGUUAGUAACACAAAUGGUCCAUUAGAAAAUGAUAAUGCUUAUUGUUUUAUCAGUGAUUUUUGGCCCCCCUCUGCCUCCUCAUGGUUAGACAGAUGUCACUCAUGGCCUUCACCUCAUGUUGUCAAUGACAUUAUAAGAAAUGGAUGUCACUUUGUUGCAAUUGGACACAAACUGGGAAACCAUGAAGAAAUCGAAUGGAGAAUUUCUUUCUCUCAGGCUGAAUACAAACUUGUGUACUCAAUGAAUCACACACAAUUCUUAACUUAUGGAAUGCUGAAAUUGUUCUUAAAAGAAAUAAUUAACAGUGAAUUAAGAGAUGAAGAUAAACUACUGUGUUCUUAUCACAUGAAAACAGCUGUUUUUUGGGUCAUUCAACAAAAAGCACUACCUCACUGGUGUCCACGAAAUCUCCUGGUCGGUUUCUGGGUCUGCUUUAAAAUUCUUCUUAAGUGGGUGUAUGACGGAAUCUGUCCAAACUUUUUCAUUCCAGAAAACAACAUGUUUCUAAGCAAAAUUCAUGGCCACUCACAAACAAGUUUAUUCAGGCGACUGUAUGAGUUGUAUGAGAAGGGUAUAACAAUGCUGCUACACAGUCCCUCCAUCAGGUCUUGUAUCAUUGAUGUCCUCUGUAAUCCCAGACUCUCAGUGUGUACUGCUGAACACACUCUGAUCUCUGAGGCCAAGUUUGAUAUAGAAUUAUUUGAUGACAUAAAUGCUACUGAUUCAUUACAUACAUCAGACCUACAGCACUGUAUACAGUACCUACAAACAGUAGAACAGUUGAUAGGUUCUCCCUUGUCACAUUAUCAAGUUGUAAGUUUACAAAAAUACACAGCCACCCUCUUUCAGUACAUUGCUUUUACAUUAUCCGAAUACAACAUGUACAUAAACACGAAUGUCAACAAACAAAUGUAUAUUGCAGACAAAAUAUCCUGUCAUUUGCUAAAAUUAACAGCUAAGUUUGGGUAUAUUUCUGACAUGUUUUACAUUGCAAUGUAUUAUUACAAGACACACAGAUACAGGGAAGCUUUAUCUGUUUUAGAGAUUACAAAGGUCAAGUUAGCACAGCCAUAUCUGAUGUAUGAGAGCCAUGUAGACAGAGAGAGGUUUACUGAGGCUGUAGGGGGACAGUCUUGGUCUACAAAGAUGAGACAGGCUGUAGCAAAGAAUGUUAUACUUGACAAUAAAAAGUGUUAUAUUCAUGAACUGAUACCAGAACAACAGUCUAGUAAACAAAUGAGUGAACUUACCGGUAAUUUGUAUAUACCACCCUAUGUACUGUUACACAUGCUAGAGUUUAUAAGCUCUAGACAUGUUGACACAAUGAGAGCACAAGCAGCCUUAGAUGAUCUACAGGUCCUAGUCCACCAUGAUCAGGGACUCUAUGUACCUAUUUGUCUCAGAGAUAUCUCCUGGGAGAUCCUGGGGAUCUGUCAACAUAUAGCAGGGAACCUCCAGUCUGCCUUGUACUCAUACCAACAGUCACUCAAACAAUUACCCCAAAAUGAAAUACAAACUGCCACCAGACAGAGAAUCCAUGAUCUACAAUUCUAAAUUCAAAGUCAGUUUAAAUACUGUAUUAGAUGAAGUUUGUAAUGCAAGUUACAAUACUGUUAGAAUAUUACAUGUAUCAGUUUUAAUAAUUGAAAUAUAGUUAAUGUAUUCUUUAUAUUUACUUGGCAUGCAAGUUUUCAUUAAGAAUUGUCUUAAUUCUUAUAGCAAUACAUUUUUGCAAAAUAAUACAUGUUCUUUUGAGUUUAAACAUUUCUGCACAAUGGCUGUAAAAUAUUGCACAGUUGUUAAUUCACAUGAUAUGUGCACUGUUGAUGGUGAGAACAUUAUACACCAAUGGAUACGCACAUAUUUUUGUUUUAUUUUGAGGAUAACCUUGAUAUUGUUUAACUUACCUUGGUAAAAACGUGGCUGGUGUUGUUGUGUCUCCUUCGUUUACUACAUCUCUACAAUCCAAGUACAGCUGUAAAAUAAAAUAAAAUCAAUUCAUAAUAAGAGUGUGAAUACUGGCAAUAAAACGAUGUGACUAAA